GCCGCUCCCAGCAAACACUAAGUCAACUCAGCUGCAUUAUCUUGGCAACAGUUAUAUGAUUGGUUGGUUGGCAGAAACCAGUGGGCCAAUUGGGGCUUCAGCACUUUAGAGGGUUAAAAUGGAGAAGCGUGAUUUCUUUUUUUUUUUCCUCCAGGGCUAUGGAAGGGGAAAGGGGCCUUUCAGAUUCAGCCUGAUGGGCAGCUUAGGGAGGGGUGGUUGGCAGCUGCUUCUUGUCGAGGCAUAUUUUCCCACCUCUACCCCACUUUUCCUAAGGCCUAAUCUUGUUUCAUUGAGCUAUGCAUGAAAGGCUCUUUCCCUCUUUGCUUUCCCACCCUUCUAAACUGUGCUGAUGCAGCUAGAUUGAGCCUUGAAGAGUAUAGCUCCAGCCAGCCUGGGAUCAAGCAUUUACUUCCAUUCCAAUCAAUUUUUUAAAACAUACUUUACUAAAUUUCUGCAAAGGCUAACAUAAAAAACAAGAAAAAAAAAGGAAUUGAGAAGGGAAGGGGAAGGUUCAAAAGAAUAAGGAAAAAAGAAAUAGAAAAAAGAUGAAACAAACUCACACAAUAGCACUGGAAUGUUAGUGGCUAUGGAUCACUCAGAAUGGAGAAAUUAGUUUGGAAGUCCCAAAGAAGAUACAAUUAAAGUUGUUGGGGAUGGAUUGAUUUUCUCAAGGCAGUUUAAAGAAGAUUGGGAUGUCAGAAUAGAUCUGGAAGGACCUUGGAGGUCUUCUAGACCAACCCCCUGGUCAAACAGAAGACCCUAUACCAUUUCAGACAGGUGUCUGUCCAGUCUCCAGUGAUGAAGCACCUACAACUUCUGAAAACAGGUUUUGUCAGCCAGCAUCUGCCCACCAAUCAACGCGGUCAGCCGUCACUGCUUCUUCAGAGACAUCAAGUCCACCAUAAUCCUCACCAGAAGCCCUGCUAUGGAUAGAGUUCUAAUGCUGUAUUAUGAAACCUUAUCAAUGAAUAAUGUCUGCACCAGAAAAGGAGCAGCAUCAUGCUUUCUGGGACUGCAGUGAAAGACCCCACAUCAGGGGUGUCAAACUGGUGAUCCGUGGGCCGGAUGCGUCACACUCAGGCCAUGCCCACCCCAUCUCUGCGAAGGGGAAAGACGUUGCAAAAGGUCAUGUGAUGGAAAUGUGACACUGUGAGUUUGACACCUGUGCCCUGCAUGAAUAAAAUUAGUGUGUGCUAGAUUAUCUAGGAGACAAGAAAAUAAAUUAUGCUGAACAUGA